UACAGAGACUGCAAGCGUUAUUCGGAUUCACUGGGCGUAAAGGGUGCGCAGGCGGCCAAGUGGGUGAGGCGUGAAAGCCUGGAGCUUAACUCCAGAAUUGCACCUCAAACUACAUGGCUAGAGCAUUGGAGAGGGUAGCGGAAUUCACGGUGUAGCAGUGAAAUGCGUAGAUAUCGUGAGGAACACCAGAGGCGAAGGCGGCUACCUGGACAAUUGCUGACGCUCAGGCACGAAAGCGUGGGGAGCAAAAGGG
rnacentral:rRNA from 1 species